rnacentral:lncRNA from 1 species
CAAUUUGUGACGCCUAUUUCUGGUGUCCCCCCCUCGUGAUAUUGCUGGAAUAUUGCUACAAACAGCGUAAAACCAUACUCAGUCAGUCAGUCUAAAAUGCCUCUCAAAGAAGUUUCUUGAAAUUAUUCAACAGGAAGUUUAACUGGCUCAAGUGUCACAACAAUCAAAAUCUCCUGAUUGAAUAUUUUCCAGUAUUUAGUUACAAAUUGAACUAAUUUUUUUUUACUUCCACAUACUUUUAAGAAUUUUUUUGAAAUUGAAUGAAGUAGAAACAAAAUGGCUGCAUGACUUUGUGUCAGUUUCGAAUUAGUUUUAAUGGCAGGCAGUAGGUGUCUCUGGUAAUGUGUCACAAAACGGUUUAGUACAUGUUUGUAAAUAUUUUGAGUUUCGCAAGUAAGUAAUUAGAACUAAAACUUCAUUGUUAAAUGCAGUUAUGCUUGUCAGUGAUCUCACACAAGGUGCUAAUAGGGAAAUUAGAUGAAUAAAGUUGUAGGUUCCCAGGUUUACUUCCUCUGUUCUACUUGAGUUUUCCCAGUUUGGAAGUACAUAGCGGAUUCAGUGACUAACACAGUUAUGUUUCUUAUCAUUUAUUUGUAGAAAUUUGAAUCUGUAGUAAAUUAAAUUCAUAGUAAAACACCAAACAGAGAGAUCCUAAAUAGUGACACAGACAGUGGUGUUUCACAUUCUAAUUUUAUUUGACAUAUGUAGAAUUUCAAGUUGUUAAUAGAACCUUUAGUAAUACGCCUGAUAAAACAUACCCUAGUUUUCAUGCUCAUAGUAUACCCCACUUACAUGUCUUCAUUGUUAGGGGCGGGGCGGUGGGGUAGCCUCGAGGUUUAAGCGUUGGCUCGUCACGCCGAAGACCCGGGUUCGAAUCCCCACAUGGGUACAUUGUGUGAAGCUCAUUUCUGGUGUCCCCCGCCGUGAUAUUGCUGGAAUAUUGUUAAAAGCAGCGUUAAACUGAACUCACUCACUCUUCCAUGUUAAGAAGCCAAGUUCAAGGUGCUGCAAUUCCCCAUGGAGAGUUGCAUAUUCAGAAACAACAGGGUCUAUCAAAUAUUCACAACAUUAUAAUAGUGCGACCUUUAUUGUUUACAUUUGGAACUGUCCAUUUCUGUUCAUUUUCAAAGUACAAAAGUAAGAUAUGCUGAUCUGAAUGCUCACGUACUGAUAACUUAGAGAGUAUUAUAUCAGAGUAAAAGUUUUAAUGAGAUUCGACCUGCCCAAACCACACUGUCACUCCAGGUCAAGGGACCACCUACCAACUGAUGACCAACAUUGUCUAGUACAUUCUUAUGUAGAGACCGGGCUCCAAGUGAUGUAAAGAGUCAGUGAGUAUUGACUCGCAAGUUACCAGACACUGGGUAUUUGAAGGGUUUCUGUGGGUAUUCAGUAAUGUUUUACUUCCAGUCUAUUUGGUAUUUUUACACCAGUGAUAAUUUCGGAAGAUAAUUCUUAAAUGUUUUUCUUUCUGGUGACUUGAAUUGUAUCUGUGUGCUUCCCCAUGUCUGUAAACUCGGAACAGCGAUUUUCAUGUCUCGCUGACAGGGAUGCACCUUCUUUUAUUUAUUCAGUAUUGUUUGUGUAUAGGUGAUGCCUGCAUUUAAUCAGUAAAUACAGAUCUGGGCCCACUUGCACAAAGAGGACUCAGCCCUAUGACUAUCUUAAGUUGAUGCCGGGCGGUGGGGGUAGCCUAGUGGUCAAAGCGUCCGCUUGUCGUCACGCUGAAGGCCCGGGAUCGAUUCCUCACAUGGGUACAGUGUGUGAAGCCCAUUUCUGUUGUCCCCCGCUGUGAUAUUGCUGGAAUAUAGUUACAGCGGCGUAAAACUAAACUAAACUAACUCACUCACUCACUCUUAAGUUGAUGCUAAUGUAUGGGAGUUACAAUCACCUUAGCUCUAAGAUCUCUUUGUGCACAUGGACCCUGCACAGAGAAACAGGUAACAGAAUGCAUUGGUUAAUUCUUAGGGAGUUAUAAUAAUGUUUUUUGAAGUUUACAUGCUUAUUUGUUGAAGCAACACUAAUAGAGUAACAGUGAUUUAUUCUGUGUAGAUAAUACAAACAUGCAGCCUGUCUGUAGCUCUGAACAGAGUGGUCUGAUUGUCAGUACAUUCUCAUGUAUAAAAUAGUCAUAGUUUUAUGACAAUCAUUGUAUCAAAUAGUCACAAUUCUGACAAUGUGCUAUGUAGGUGAGUACUCAGACUGACUCUACAACAUUUAUUUAUUUCUUUUAAGAAGAUAGUGUUUGUAGUUUCAUGACUUGUGUUGACUUAAAGAUUGAUUAGAACUGAGAAUGUAGAUGAAAUAGUAAAUCUAUAUAUGUAUUAAUGAUAUAAAUACUCACUCAAUAGACAAAUUAGCAGUAGAUAAACUUCACACAUUCUAUUCACAGACAUGACACUUAAUAUUCAUUCAUGUAAUGCUCAAACAGUGAUAAAGUCAUGUGUGAUCCAGAACCUAAUUAUAUACUGAGGGAGCAAAAUAAUGCAACAGCUGUUUGACAGACAUUUUUAUGAAGUUGACAGUUGAGGAAGUAGUCAUGUUAUGGAUAAUGCAAACGUUAUCACUGUUUUAAAUUAAUUAUGAACAUUACUGGGUUCAUUUCAUAACCCAAAUAUGUCAAGUUAAACAUUUAGGGGUGAGGCAUGGGGGUCCUUAGAUUCAGACAAUGGGUAAUCAAUCCCAACACACAUCAUAUUUUAAAACACUUUCUAUUAAUGGAAACAUUUUGUUGUUAUAAUGUUAUCAUUACCCUAAAUAACCAUAGAUUGCUUGUGAACACCUACUAAUCAUUUGGUUGAUACAAGGCAUUUGUAGAUGAAAUACAUGCUUUAUUUCUGCUGUAACCUUACUUUCUUGCAUCAGUAUAUAUAUGGGGAAUGAAGUCCGUUGAGCUAUAGAAUUUGAUUUGUCAUGAAACGAAAACGUGAACGAAAUAAGUGUUGAUGAUUGAGAACUAAUUUUGCCAGUCUGCAAAAUCACAAUGAAAAUACAAUUAAUUCCAUUUGUGUAAUACAUUUGUAUCAUUAGCUGAUUAAUACAUCGAGCACUUGCACUGAAGCUAAGUUUGAUUGUGUAACACUUGGCGAGCUGUUUGUAGAUCAGAUAGGAUAACUAGAUAUUGGUUGUCAGAUUCUUCUCAGUGUUACAAUAGUGUUCAUUUUGACAAUGUCGGCAGGAGCUUGUCCUGGCAGCCGUUCUUGGCUGUUCUCAAAAGACACUGCUGUGCAGAGCCACCCUAUAAGAUGACAAUGUCGAACUGAGCUUGUCCUGGCAGCCGUUCUUGGCUGUUCUCAAAAGACACUGUUGUGCAGAGCCACCAUGGAAGGUGAGCUGCAGAACCUGUGGUAUUUAUGAAUCAGCAGUUAAUGCUACUUGUCACAUCUCUGUGUGCAUGUAAUAUUCAGUGUAUAUAGGUUGUACAUAUACAAAUUAACAUUAAAUUCCAGUAUUUUUGUAUAUAGUGAAAAUGUCAUGUUCUUUCAGAGAAUGAUAAAUUAAAACCAUUCGAAACUG